CAUUGGAGAAGUUCUGUUGAGGAUAUAGAGGUUCUUGCUGUCAACUCAUCAGCACUAGGAAAUUCAAAGGUGAUGACACCAGAAACUUUGCUUCAGUUAAUAUUAGAUGAUCGUGUCUGAAGGAAAAAAAAAGCGAAUUAUUUGAAGAAAAUCACACAUUAAUGUCUUCAUCUGCUGGUAUCUCUCAUAAAGUCAGUGGUUCUUCACUGUGGAUUCUUAUUGAUCUUGCGCUUGAAGACGCCAUGGAUGGUUCACAAGUCGAUACAACAAGCGCCACUGAAAUUAUCACACGUCAUGGAAAAGCUCUUCAAGCAUUACAUGGAACCAGUUGGCACGAGUGUUUGCUCGGUCUUUAGAUGGAGCUCUUCGGCUUGUUCAGAGGGAAAGAGAUCCCAUUGAAGGUCCUAUGCCGCAUUUGGAUACUCGUUUAUGCAUGUUUAAUCAUAUUACUGGCCAGGUUACGUAACAGGUCAUAUUAACCAAAUCCCGCAUGGCGUGCCAGCUCAGGUUGAACCCGCCAAACUGUUUAGCUAAACGGGUCAAGUUUGGGUCAACCUGGUCGGGUUGUCGGGUUGACCCGUUUAACCUAUUUCUAUAAUAUUAUAUUUUUUACAAUAUGUUUUAUGUUAUAAAUUAAAUUUGGUAUGUAUUUUAUACUAUACUUAUAACUUAACAAAUAAAAAUUGACAUAAGAUUUUAUGAUUUUAAUGUAAUUUUAUUAUCUAAUAUGUAUUUUUUUGUAGUAGAUGUUAAUUUUAAUAUAUUAAAUUGCUGAAAAAAAUUAAAAAAAUAAAAAAACUUGGGUUGAACUGGUCGGUUUCGGGUCAGCCUGCGAAUAUUCGGGUCAGGUUCGGGUUCAUAUGUAUUAAACAAUUUUCGGGUUCGGGUUGGGUUGAACCCGCCAACCUGCGAACACGACACGUUUAGCACCCCUAGUUGUGAACCAGAGAAGAACUCUACCUUGAACAUGCUUUGGUGACAACUUAAAAUAUUAUUAAAGGAUUAUUUUCUAUACCUUAAGAAUUUUAUUGAAGGAUUAAUAUAUUUUUUAAAAAUUUUUAGCAGAAAGAAGCAACUAUAUGAAGUAUAUGACUGAUUUAUAUAUGUAUUCAGUAUUAAAUUGUUAUUAAUAUUAUGUGGUGGGAAGCCCGUAUGAUGUUGCUCCGGAGGUUCUUUUGAAGCAUUAUGGUCCAGAAGCGGAUGUGUGGACCGCAAGAGUGAUACUUUACAUAUUACUCAGUGGUAUGCCCCUGUUUUGGGCUGAAACACAACAGGGGAUGUUUGAUGCGGUUUUGAAGGGAUACACAGACUUUGAGUCGGACCUGUGGCCUCUUAUAUCUGAUAGUGCAAAGGAUCUUAUUAGGAAGAUGUUUCAGACCGCCUAACUGCUCAUGAAGUUCUGUGUAUGUUGUGACUUGGUUAUAUAUUGUUAGAAUACCUCGCGUUUUGCUGUCAUUUAAAUGUUAUCUGAAUGAUACAUGUCAUCCUUGGAUUUGUGAAAAUGGUGUUGCUCCUGAUAGAGCACUGGAUCCAGCCAUUCUUUCUCGUUUGAAGCAGUUCUCUGCAAUGAACAAGUUAAAGAAAAUGGCUUUGCGGGUUAUAGCCGAAAGCCUGUCUGAGGUUAAAGCCUGUCUGAGGUUUGAGAGAGACGUUCAAAUAAAAAGAUAAGGUGGAUAAAGAUACUAUGCUCGAUAGGAUGUCACAAAUUGAAGCUAUGUUAACAAAUACAAUUCGAAGAUAGGCUACAAACACUUGGUUUUAAAUGUUUCGAUGUUUAUCAUGUUAGGAUAGUUUUAGUUAUCUGAUGUUUUUGGUAUUUCUAUUAGAAUGUUUUAUAUACUUUUGAUACAGAGAUGUUUUAUAUAAU